rnacentral:tRNA from 1 species
GGGGGUUUAGAUCAGUUGGUAGAGCGCCUGCUUUGCAAGCAGGAUGUCAGCGGUUCGAGUCCGCUAACCUCCACUGACCAACC